AGAAACAUGCGAUUCUGCAUAUGUUUCCACGUUGGACUACAGAAAUUAUCUACUUAAGUAUUUCCGCCCGCUGUCAUUAAGCCUGUUCACAGCACACAGGGAGCUCUCAGUUUGACACCUGGGGCCAGGUGCUGCGGGGUCUACUAGGAGGCCGAGCGGGACGGCCUACAUGUGGCACUGUGACUCACUUACAAGAAUAUUCAAAAGCGUCCUCUUCCGCUUUCUGCCAGGGAAACGAGGAUCAGAGUGUUCCUGGACUGCAUGCAGGUCUUCUCUGCCACCUCCUGCAAAGGAAUUAGACCAACCUGCCUCUCUACCCUGCAGUGUGUCUCGGAGCACAGUCUACCAUCACCUUCUGCACGAGAUCCAUCCAUCCAGACUCAGACUGUUACACGAGGUGUCUGACAACAUCAUGGAAAGAUCCCUACGAGUAAGACCCUUUGUUAUAAACAAGUAACAGAAGUCUCGCUCUGAAAUCUUGUGAGAGGUGAGUUGUUGCAUGAAGACGCCGGUAAGUCAGAGUUGGAGAGGGAUGUUUGUUGUGUACAUUGAGGGAACUGCUAGCAAGACGUUAUAUGCUAACAUUACUCCAACACCCCUCAUGAGAUUUAAGAGCAAGAAUAUAUCCUUGAACAAGACUUCUGUUUCUAGGGAUCAUUUCCAUGAUGUUGUCAGACACUUCAUAUAACAGUCAGAGCCUAUCGGUGGCAAAAAGAAGCACUUUUUGUGAACAUAAUUUUGACGGGAGCCCAACUACAGCCGGCUGAAGCCAUCUACUGCAAAGAUUCCAAAACAUUUUGUACCUACUAGUCAUUUCGACCCCAAAAUGUGAAAAUAGUGCAUAGGUUUAAAAAAAAGCCUAAGAUUGACCAAAACAAUAUAUCAGAUUCACACAGAGCCUUUGAGUUUAAGCCUAGUUGACUGUCAACCACUUCUGAUUUGGGCAAAAUUCUUAAAAAUCCACCCAAUAAAACAACCACCAUGAUCACAA